ACGGAAUGAUGAGAGUCAGUUUCGCUAAUUGGGCUGAACUCCUGUGAUGUCACUUCCUCUUGGCUGUCUGACCAU